ensembl:snRNA U6 U6 spliceosomal RNA
GUGCUCACUUUGGCAGCAUAUAUACCAAAAUUGGAAUGAUACAGAGAAGGUUAUCACAGCCCUUAUACAAGGAUGACACUCAAAAAUAUGACAUUGUUUUU